rnacentral:rRNA from 1 species
UACGAAGGGGGCUAGCGUUGCUCGGAAUCACUGGGCGUAAAGCGAGUGUAGGUGGUCAUCCAAGUUGGAUGUGAAAGCCUUGAGCUCAACUCAAGAAAUGCAUUCAGGACUGAAUGACUAGAGGACCGGAGAGGAUAGUGGAAUUCCCAGUGUAGUGGUGAAAUACGUAGAGAUUGGGAAGAACACCAGUGGCGAAGGCGGCUUUCUGGUCUGUAACUGACGCUGAGGCGCGAAAGCGUGGGGAGCAAACAGG